CUAGCGGCAGGCCUAAUACAUGCAAGUCGAACGGUAACAUUGGUGCUUGCACCAGAUGACGAGUGGCGCACGGGUGCGUAACGCGUAUGCAACCUACCUUUUACUAGAGUAUAGCCCAGAGAAAUUUGGAUUAAUCCUCUAUAAUAUCUUUUAAUCUCCUGAUUUUAAGAUUAAAGUUUUAACGGUAAAAGAUGGGCAUGCGUCCUAUUAGUUUGUAGGUGAGGUAACGGCUCACCUAGACUACGAUAGGUAGGGGCCCUGAGAGGGGGAUCCCCCACACUGGUACUGAGACACGGACCAGACUCCUACGGGAGGCAGCAGUAAGGAAUAUUGGACAAUGGACGAAAGUCUGAUCCAGCCAUGCCGCGUGCAGGAUGACAGCCCUACGGGUUGUAAACUGCUUUUAUACAGGAAGAAACACUCCGACGUGUCGGAGCUUGACGGUACUGUAAGAAUAAGGAUCGGCUAACUCCGUGCCAGCAGCCGCGGUAAUACGGAGGAUCCAAGCGUUAUCCGGAAUCAUUGGGUUUAAAGGGUCCGCAGGCUGUUUUUUAAGUCAGAGGUGAAAUCCUGCAGCUCAACUGUAGAACUGCCUUUGAUACUGGAAAACUUGAGUUAUUGUGAAGUGGUUAGAAUGUGUGGUGUAGCGGUGAAAUGCAUAGAUAUCACACAGAAUACCGAUUGCGAAGGCAGAUCACUAACAAUAUACUGACGCUCAUGGACGAAAGCGUGGGGAGCGAACAGGAUUAGAUACCCUGGUAGUCCACGCCGUAAACGAUGGAUACUAGCUGUUCGUCUAACAUUGGUUAGAUGAGUGGCUAAGCGAAAGUGAUAAGUAUCCCACCUGGGGAGUA
rnacentral:rRNA from 1 species